rnacentral:misc_RNA from 1 species
GAUGAAGAACGUAGUGAAAUGCGAUACGUAAUGUGAAUUGCAGAAUUCAGUGAAUCAUCGAAUCUUUGAACGCACAUUGCACUCUCUGGUAUUCCGGAGAGUAUGCUUGUUUGAGUAUCUGUAAACAUCUCAAAUCUCUCUUCGCUUGCGUCGAGAGAAUUGGAUUUGAGCGAUCCCGACUCCUUCGUCAGAAAGAGGAGGGUCGCUUGAAAUGCAGGUGCAGCUGGACAUUCUUCUGAGCUAAAAGCAUAUCUAUUUAGUCCCGUCAAACGGAUUAUUACUUUUGCUUCAGCUAAUAUAAAGGUCGAAUGAACUACCAACGCUGAUUGCAGGAAAACUUGUUCGUUUAUUCGGACUUGUAAACUCGAUCUCAAAUCAAGUAAGACUACCCGCUGAACUUAAGCAUAUCAAUAAGCGGAGGA